UUUUUUUGAAAGGUUUUAUCAAGGUUAUUUCAUUUCAAAUUUCAAAUGAUUGGAGAGGUUUGUGUGACUUAAAAUCAACAAUGAAACCUAAACUAAAAUAAUUUCAAUUUAAGAAUCUCUGCAAUCAGCCAGGAGCAUGCCUCCCUCGACAAGUGAACCUCCUUCAUCUUGCUUUGAAAGGCCAAAGCCGGGUUACUACCCAAAGGGAUGCAGUAGUAUGAAAGAACUGCUUCCCCACUCUCAUAUAUAUUUAUAUGAGGACCAGUUGAGGAGGGCCUCCAACAAAAUCUCGUUGGGUCAAGAAGGGAGGCGGGAUGGCUCCAGCUGUGCCAGAAUUCACGAUGAGUGUAUCUGACUCACUGAGGUCGAGAGUAACGAAAGUUCUCAGGAACAAGCUCUCGGCCUUCAGAUGUCGUGAAAAGAAGCAGCUCAACAAAGUCGAAGCUGCUCUAUAA